CCUGUCUAUACCCAAAGGCGGUAGCUUGACGAAAAGCCAGCAAGUUCCAGUGGGGAGGAUUCGAACCUUUUCACAGUUCCUGGCGUUGGGUUGCCACAAAAGAUGUUCGUAUCACGAGCUGAAGGUGGUUGCCCGCUCUCCUCCACAUCUUGGACACUGUUCUACCCCACACCCCACAGAGCAACGGUUCUCGAGCAUCCCGGUUGUGUGGGGAAAGUGGCUGGUCGCCCAUCUUUUAGGAAACCACAGCCGGCGAUACAGAGUUCAGCUGGCCAGGGUAGUCCUCGCGGUCUUCCUGACAGGCGAAUGGGGCCAGAGAGAGGUGUCAUCAGGCCUGACAGAAGAUUGACAUGCUACUGUAUGAAAUCCGGUCGUUGGUCAAAAGACGUAUAUUUUUGGAGAGAAACUCUUUUGAACGAUACCACAAGGCCGUGAAAGAUCCUGGUUUUAUGUUGAGCUUAUGCACGCGUUCCUUUUAGUCUUUCUUGCUUUUUCUCUAUAUAGUUAUACACUGUUUCGCCAAUAGA